rnacentral:rRNA from 1 species
GACGAACGCUGGCGGCGUGCUUAACACAUGCAAGUCGAACGGUGAAGCGCCUUCCUUUUUGGUGGGUGUGGAUGAGUGGCGAACGGGUGAGUAACACGUGACUAACCUGCCCCCUUCUUCUGGAUAACCGCAUGAAAGUGUGGCUAAUACGGGAUAUUCUGGGUCUGUCGCAUGAUGGGUCUGGGAAAGAUAUUGUUUCGGUGGGGGAUGGGCUCGCGGCCUAUCAGCUUGUUGGUGGGGUGAUGGCCUACCAAGGCGGUGACGGGUAGCCGGCCUGAGAGGGUGGACGGUCACACUGGGACUGAGACACGGCCCAGACUCCUACGGGAGGCAGCAGUGGGGAAUAUUGCACAAUGGGCGCAAGCCUGAUGCAGCGACGCCGCGUGAGGGAUGGAGGCCUUCGGGUUGUGAACCUCUUUCGCCAGUGAAGCAGGCCUGCCUCGUUUGUGGGUGGGUUGACGGUAGCUGGAUAAGAAGCGCCGGCUAACUACGUG